rnacentral:lncRNA from 1 species
GGCCAUGUCUUUCCUCCACUCCGACCUUCGUCGGUUAUCUAAAAAUAUGACAUGUUACAUUUGCUUUGAUCAGAGACCGAUUUCUUGAUACAUUAUGCUGACCGAAUCUGACUACUCGCCACCGCCACCCGACCGGCCUCAUUUUUCUUCAUAUGCAUAUCUACUUUAUGGUCAGCCUUGGUGUAUGGGGGUGCAGUCAUUCAAACAAGAAGAAGAACAAAAGAAUUUUAUACUCUAGUUCUUCAAUCAAGGUAGAACCCUAAUUUCUUAUUUAUUUAUUUAAUCUCAAAUUAGGUAGGAAAGAAAAAUUAGAUUUAAGAGUAAUUUAGAUAUUAGAGCUCCGAAAUAGGAAACUAACAAUGAUUGAUUUAUUUCUUAUACUAAUGUUUGGUCAAGGAUGGGUUGGAUUUAUACUGAUUGAUUGGUUUGUAUCGCUGGGUUUAUAUCGUGAGAUUUGCAUCAAUAGAUUUAGUUUUGUAUGAGAUAUGUUUUAUUUGAUUUUCAGAUAUGAACAUAUUUAUGUGUUAUUAUAUAUGGAUAUCAGCUAUUGAAGUUAUAACUAUAUAAAUUCUAAUUCAUAUUAUUUUGAAAUUAUGAGAAAUACAUUAUUUAAUUAGAGUUGAUUUGACAAGAAUAACAUAUAAAAUCAGAUAGAUAAGAAGCGGUUUGGA